rnacentral:rRNA from 1 species
GGGGAACCCUGAUCCAGCCAUGCCGCGUGUGUGAAGAAGGCCUUUUGGUUGUAAAGCACUUUAAGCGAGGAGGAGGCUACCUAGAUUAAUACUUUAGGAUAGUGGACGUUACUCGCAGAAUAAGCACCGGCUAACUCUGUGCCAGCAGCCGCGGUAAUACAGAGGGUGCGAGCGUUAAUCGGAUUUACUGGGCGUAAAGCGUGCGUAGGCGGCCAAUUAAGUCAAAUGUGAAAUCCCCGAGCUUAACUUGGGAAUUGCAUUCGAUACUGGUUGGCUAGAGUAUGGGAGAGGAUGGUAGAAUUCCAGGUGUAGCGGUGAAAUGCGUAGAGAUCUGGAGGAAUACCGAUGGCGAAGGCAGCCAUCUGGCCUAAUACUGACGCUGAGGUACGAAAGCAUGGGGAGCAAACAGGAUUAGAUACCCUGGUAGUCCAUGCGGUAAACGAUGUCUACUAGCCGUUGGGGCCCUUGAGGCUUUAGUGGCGCAGCUAACGCGAUAAGUAGACCGCCUGGGGAGUACGGUCGCAAGACUAAAACUCAAAUGAAUUGACGGGGGCCCGCACAAGCGGUGGAGCAUGUGGUUUAAUUCGAUGCAACGCGAAGAACCUUACCUGGCCUUGACAUACAGAGAACUUUCCAGAGAUGGAUUGGUGCCUUCGGGAACUCUGAUACAGGUGCUGCAUGGCUGUCGUCAGCUCGUGUCGUGAGAUGUUGGGUUAAGUCCCGCAACGAGCGCAACCCUUUUCCUUAUUUGCCAGCACUUCGGGUGGGAACUUUAAGGAUACUGCCAGUGACAAACUGGAGGAAGGCGGGGACGACGUCAAGUCAUCAUGGCCCUUACGGC